rnacentral:ncRNA from 1 species
AUAAAUCCAUUGAGAAGGAAGAGUAAUUAAAUUUAGGUUCGAUAUAGAGAGUUGAGGAUGGUGGAAUCUCAACAAGAAGGGAUUUAACGAAUGGGCCUUUUAGGAGUAAAUUGAAAUCUUUAUGAGAGUAGACUUUACCGUGUGUUGCACGUUACAGCAAUUGAGGUAUGAUAGUACCAAUAAUUAAGCGGUGUAUUUUAAUACACAAUUUAGGUGGCAACGCGGAUAUAACACUUCGUCCUAGAG